rnacentral:rRNA from 1 species
UACGAAGGGGGCUAGCGUUGUUCGGAAUUAUUGGGCGUAAAGCGCGCGCAGGCGGUCCCUUAAGUCUGAUGUGAAAGCCCACGGCUCAACCGUGGAGGGUCAUUGGAAACUGGGGGACUUGAGUACAGAAGAGGAAAGCGGAAUUCCACGUGUAGCGGUGAAAUGCGUAGAGAUGUGGAGGAACACCAGUGGCGAAGGCGGUCUGCUGGGCCGUUGCUGACGCUGAGGCGCGACAGCGUGGGGAGCAAACAGG